GUUGGUGUGGCAGAAUCCGGUGAUGCAAAAGACCUAAGACCUUCGUAAUAGGGGUUCAAAUCCUCUCCCCAACU
rnacentral:tRNA from 1 species